rnacentral:tRNA from 1 species
GGACAGAUGGCCGAGCGGUCUAAGGCGCUACGUUCAGGUCCUCACCCCUCCAGGUGACCAUCAGCUUCGUAGUCUCGCAAGAGGCGUGGGUUCGAAUCCCACUCUGUUCA